UACGUAGGCAGCGAGCGUUGUUCGGAAUUACUGGGCGUAAAGGGCGCGUAGGCGGCCUGCUAAGUCGAACGUGAAAUCCCCGGGCUCAACCCGGGAACUGCGUCCGAGACUGGCGGGCUUGAAUUCGGGAGAGGGAUGCGGAAUUCCAGGUGUAGCGGUGAAAUGCGUAGAUAUCUGGAGGAACACCGGUGGCGAAGGCGGCAUCCUGGACCGAUAUUGACGCUGAUGCGCGAAAGCCAGGGGAGCAAACGGG
rnacentral:rRNA from 1 species